GUUCAUUGCAACCUCCCCAUCUGAAUGUCAGCUCCACUAACACCACAAAGACAGACUCAGUGCAGCUGAGCUGUGAGACUCCUCAGUCUGUCUCAGUGUCUCGUUGUCAGUUCCUGUCGGAUGGACAAACUGUCGGGGAGACGUCUUCACCCUGUCGGCGCUCCAUCACCGGGACUCAGCUGCUCAGGGGGACGAUCCACUCUGGCGACGCUCAGAUUGUAGUUCAGUGUCUGUACACUGCGGACAUAAAUGGGAUUAAUAUACCAUCACCAUCACCGCGCAGUAACAGUAUCACAGUGACAGUGACGGGGUUCCUGAUAAACUCCACAUCUGAUCCAGUGUCCACAACAAGUAAUCCAAGAUUAAAUGGGUUUAUAUGUCUUCACAGAUCUCUUACAUACUGAAUUAACGUAAUUAAGGGGUAACUAAUAGUAAUUGAUCACAUUUUCACUGUUUUGUUCCUCUCUGGUAGAUCUGACAGCUGUGAUCAAUGUGAGCAGCACAUUACUGCCUGAAAAUAGCUUUGUCGGUGUUACCUGUGCUGCUCCACGCACGGUGCGAGAGGCCACCUGGAGGCUCUACAGAGACACACAUACAUCUCCGGUCCUCACACGGACUGGGAAGGGGAAUCUUUUUCGGUUCUCAGUGUCUAGGAGCAACCUUCUUCAGGGAGAAACACACACUGAUGUGUACACUGUUGUACAGCUGAGCUGUGAAUACACUGAUAGCGACUCAAACACCGUCUCUCAGCGGAGCAGCAGGCGGCAGCUGAUGGUCCUGGGCAAACUGCCCCCGGCCAAACUGACACUGAGUCCCGCGAUGGUCACUGAGAGAGGCUCGGUGCAGCUGAGCUGUGAAGGACCUCAGAAUCUGCCUGUGUCUCAGUGUCAGUUCCACGCAGACAAGAAGUGGCUGACUGAGACUCCGUCGGACUGUCAGCUCUCCAUCGCUGGAGCCGAGCUGCUCAGAAGGGGGGGUCGGGGUCACAGCAUGAUCAGCGGGGUUAUUAAAGUGGACUGUCAGUACAUUGUGGGUGCUGGAUUAAAUGCACCUUCCCCACACAGUGAUGGUCUUUCAGUGACACUGCUGGUCGAGCCAAAUAUUAAUGUGUCGACACACCACAAUGACACAGUGGUUCGCUGUGAAGCCCCUCCUCCUGUCACUGGAGCCCUCUUCUACCUGCAUGAGAAAGAAAGGACACAACCCAUCACAGAGAUCCGGGCAGCAGAAGGAAAGAGAGCAGUGAUUUUCAGUGUCCCCCGCAGCCCCGACACCACAGUGACCUACUGCUGCGCUUAUAAGUACCAGAACUUCAGCUCUCCGCUGAGUAACUGCACCGGAUCACAAAGUGCACAGGAGAACAAAAACAGUGGUGAGACACCUGUCACACACGCAGGCUUUUCCAGCAUCAGUACACACACACAUUUUCCAAACUGCUUGUCCCAUACGGGGUCGCGGGGGAACCGGAGCCUACCCGGCAGCACAGGGGACACACCCAGGACGGGAUCACCAAGGCACCCCAAGCAGGACUCGAACCCCAAACCCCCUGGAGAGCAAGACCCCGUCCAACCCACUGCGCCACUCUGCCCCUCACGUCAGUACACAUUGUAUUAAUCCUUGUCUGCAGGUAGAAAACUAUCAUCCGUUCAAUAAUUGCUUGUGACAGGUUAUGGGGAUGAUGACACAGCAAAGGGUG
ensembl:lncRNA